rnacentral:lncRNA from 1 species
CGGGUGCAUAUUUAGCUUGCCACUGGCCUUUUCCUCUUGCCAUAGACUCUGCCCAUCCCUCUGCCUUCUCUGAGGCCUCCAGCCCAGCCUCUGAUGGACUAGAGGCCAUUGUCACAGUGACAGAGAAGCUGGAGGAACUGCAGUUGCCUCAGGAAGCUGUGGAGAGCGAGUCUCGUGGGGCGAUCUACUCCAUCCCCAUCACAGAAGAUGGGGGAGGAGGAAGCUCUACCCCAGAAGACCCAGCAGAGGCCCCCAGGACUCCUCUAGGUAACUGUAAGCCUUUUUACCUUGGGUUCUCACUACUGAGAGAAGUUGGGGGUAGGAGGGUAAGCCCUAGUGGAUACUGGGAUCAUGACUGGCAUAAUUCUGCCUUAGGUAUCUCUCCUAUCACUCUCCAAAAUUUAGUAUUCAAAUAAAUUCCGUCCCCCAUUCUCUGCAGCUAGAGAAACUUGGUUUAGAGGGUGCUCUCUGGAAAGGAAUUAUAUUCCUUACCUACCCCAGACAGAUUGGAAAAUGUUGGCAGACUAGGAGAGGGAGAUGCAACAGCCUUUUCUGCCUGAGUAAAAGGCAGAGCCCUGCA